UACAGAGGUCCCAAGCGUUGUUCGGAUUCAUUGGGCGUAAAGGGUGCGUAGGUGGCGCCGUAAGUGGGGUGUGAAAUUUCGGAGGCUUAACUCCGAAACUGCAUUCCAUACUGCGGUGCUUGAGGACUGGAGAGGAGACUGGAAUUCAUGGUGUAGCAGUGAAAUGCGUAGAGAUCAUGAGGAAGACCAGUGGCGAAGGCGGGUCUCUGGACAGUUCCUGACACUGAGACACGAAGGCCAGGGGAGCAAACGGG
rnacentral:rRNA from 1 species